rnacentral:rRNA from 1 species
CCCUAUGGGGUGCAGCAGGCGCGAAACCUUUACAAUGCACGAAAGUGUGAUAAGGGAACUCCAAGUGCUUAUGCUUUGCAUAGGCUUUUGCCAAAGGUAAAUACUUUGGCGAAUAAGUGGUGGGUAAGACGGGUGCCAGCCGCCGCGGUAACACCCGCGCCACAAGUGGGAACCAUAUUUAUUGGGCCUAAAGCGUCCGUAGCCGAUCUGAUAAAUCUUCUGUGAAAUUGUUGUGCUCAACGCAACAACGCGCAGAAGACACUGUUGGAAUUGGAACUGGGAGGAGUCAGAAGUAUUUCUUGGGGAGCGGUAAAAUGCUAUAAUCCUUGAAGGACUACCAGUGGCGAAAGCGUCUGACUAGCACAGAUUCGACGGUGAGGGACGAAAGCCAGGGGAGCAAUCCGGAUUAGAUACCCGAGUAGUCCUGGCCAUAAACGCUGCGAGCUAGGUGUUGCAUAUUCUUCGUGAAUAUGCAGUGUCGUAAUGAAGAUGUUAAGCUCGCCGCCUGGGAAGUAUAGUCGCAAGACCGAAACUUAAAGGAAUUGGCGGGGGAGCACUACAAGGGGUGCGGCGUGCGGUUUAAUCUAAUUCAACGCAGAGAACCUCACCAGCAGCGACGGCAGAAUGAAAGUCAGUCUAAAGGGCUUACUUGACAAGCCGAGAAGUGGUGCAUGGCCACGGCG